UGGGGUAUAGCCAAGCGGUAAGGCAGCGGUCUUUGGAAUCGCCAUCCGCAGGUUCGAAUCCUGCUACCCCAGCCA
rnacentral:tRNA from 1 species